rnacentral:rRNA from 1 species
UGAUCCCCCACACUGGUACUGAGACACGGACCAGACUCCUACGGGAGGCAGCAGUGAGGAAUAAUAGGUCAAUGGACGCAAGUCUAGAACCAGCCAUGCCGCGUGCAGGAUUGACGGCCCUAUGGGUUGUAAAACUGCUUUUAUUUGGGAAGAAAGGUCGCUACGAGUAGUGAUUUGACGGUACCAUUUGAAUAAGCACCGGCUAACUCCGUGCCAGCAGCCGCGGUAAUACGGAGGGUGCAAGCGUUAUCCGGAUUCAUUGGGUUUAAAGGGUGCGUAGGCUGAUAGAUAAGUCAGUGGUGAAAUCUUGCGGCUUAACCGUAAAACUGCCAUUGAUACUGUUUAUCUAGAGUACAUAUGAGGUAGGCGGAAUAUAGUAUGUAGCGGUGAAAUGCAUAGAUAUACUAUAGAACACCGAUUGCGAAGGCAGCUUACUAAAUUGUUACUGACGCUGAGGCACGAAAGCGUGGGGAGCGAACAGGAUUAGAUACCCUGGUAGUCCACGCAGUAAACGAUGAUUACUCGAUGUUGGCGAUACACUGUCAGCGUCUGCGCGAAAGCAUUAAGUAAUCCACCUGGGGAGUACGAUCGCAAGGUUGAAACUCAAAGGAAUUGACGGGGGCCCGCACAAGCGGAGGAGCAUGUGGUUUAAUUCGAUGAUACGCGAGGAACCUUACCUGGGCUUAAAUGUAGUGUGCAUUAGCGAUGAAAAUCCUAUUUCCUUCGGGACCCACUACAAGGUGCUGCAUGGUUGUCGUCAGCUCGUGCCGUGAGGUGUCGGGUUAAGUCCCAUAACGAGCGCAACCCCUAUUCUUAGUUGCCAUCAGGUAAUGCUGGGGACUCUAAGAAAACUGCCGGCGCAAGCCGUGAGGAAGGUGGGGAUGGCGUCAAAUCAGCACGGCCCUUAUGUCCAGGGCUACACACGUGCUACAAUGGUCGGCACAAAGGGCAGCUACACAGCGAUGUGAUGCUAAUCUCCAAAGCCGAUCCUAGUUCGGAUCGAAGUCUGCAAUUCGACUUCGUGAAGUUGGAUUCGCUAGUAAUCGUAUAUCAGCAAUGAUACGGUGAUAUGUUCCCGGGCCUUGUACACACCGCCCGUCAAGCCAUGGAAGCUGAGG